CGGCGGACGGGUGAGUAAUGCUUAGGAAUCUGCCUAUUAGUGGGGGACAACAUUCCGAAAGGGAUGCUAAUACCGCAUACGCCCUACGGGGGAAAGCAGGGGAUCUUCGGACCUUGCGCUAAUAGAUGAGCCUAAGUCGGAUUAGCUAGUUGGUGGGGUAAAGGCCUACCAAGGCGACGAUCUGUAGCGGGUCUGAGAGGAUGAUCCGCCACACUGGGACUGAGACACGGCCCAGACUCCUACGGGAGGCAGCAGUGGGGAAUAUUGGACAAUGGGCGGAAGCCUGAUCCAGCCAUGCCGCGUGUGUGAAGAAGGCCUUUUGGUUGUAAAGCACUUUAAGCGAGGAGGAGGCUCUUAAGGUUAAUACCCUUGAUGAGUGGACGUUACUCGCAGAAUAAGCACCGGCUAACUCUGUGCCAGCAGCCGCGGUAAUACAGAGGGUGCGAGCGUUAAUCGGAUUUACUGGGCGUAAAGCGUGCGUAGGCGGCUGAUUAAGUCGGAUGUGAAAUCCCUGAGCUUAACUUAGGAAUUGCAUUCGAUACUGGUCAGCUAGAGUAUGGGAGAGGAUGGUAGAAUUCCAGGUGUAGCGGUGAAAUGCGUAGAGAUCUGGAGGAAUACCGAUGGCGAAGGCAGCCAUCUGGCCUAAUACUGACGCUGAGGUACGAAAGCAUGGGGAGCAAACAGGAUUAGAUACCCUGGUAGUCCAUGCCGUAAACGAUGUCUACUAGCCGUUGGGGCCUUUGAGGCUUUAGUGGCGCAGCUAACGCGAUAAGUAGACCGCCUGGGGGAGUACGGUCGCAAGACUAAAACUCAAAUGAAUUGACGGGGGCCCGCACAAGC
rnacentral:rRNA from 1 species